AACGAACGCUGGCGGCAGGCCUAACACAUGCAAGUCGAGCGCCCUUUCGGGGGAGCGGCGGACGGGUGAGUAACGCGUGGGAAUAUGCCCUUCUCUACGGAAUAGCCUCGGGAAACUGAGAGUAAUACCGUAUACGCCCUUAGGGGGAACGAUUUAGCGGGGAAGGAUUAGCCCGCGUUGGAUUAGGUAGUUGGUGGGGUAAUGGCCGACCAAGCCGACGAUCCAUAGCUGGUUUGAGAGGAUGAUCAGCCACACUGGGACUGAGACACGGCACAGACUCCUACGGGAGGCAGCAGUGGGGAAUCUUAGACAAUGGGGGCAACCCAGAUCUAGCCAUGCCGCGAGAGUGAUGAAGGCCUUAGGGUUGUAAAGCUCUAUCGGCUGGGAAGAUAAUGACGGUACCAGCAGAAGAAGCCCCGGCUAACUCCGUGCCAGCAGCCGCGGUAA
rnacentral:rRNA from 1 species